GUUUCAGGACCGUUGGCACCGGGCUAACGGUUCCACCACGUCCGCCGCCCUGGACGCCCGCGGCCUGCCCCCCCCUGCCUCUCCUGCGCCGAUACACUUCGAGUGGAUUCUGGCCAUUUGAGCAUUCUCUCCAACUCUCCAAUCCCCAGUCUGCCCCCACGGGGGUCUCCCCCACCUCUCCCCCGUCCCACAGCCUAAACCCCUCUUCGCCCUGAACCUCCCUUUUCCUCAUGCGGUGAAUGGGCACUGGCCCCGCUCAGACUCCCAGGAGCACCAGAGCUGGCCCUGAGCCAAGCCCUGCCCCACCAGGACCUGGGGACACGGGUGACUCAGACGUGACUCAGGAAGGCUCAGGUCCUGCUGGCAUCCGCGGAGCCCCACCAGCAUGGGCAGCCUCGGCCAGAGAGAAGAUCUCCAAGAUGAGGACAGGAACUCAGCAUUCACCUGGAAGGUCCAGGCCAACAACCGUGCCUACAACGGGCAGUUCAAGGAGAAGGUGAUCCUGUGCUGGCAAAGGAAGAAAUACAAGACCAAUGUCAUCCGCACGGCCAAGUACAACUUCUACUCGUUCCUGCCGCUGAACCUGUACGAGCAGUUCCACCGCGUGUCCAACCUGUUCUUCCUCAUCAUCAUCAUCCUGCAGAGCAUUCCCGACAUCUCCACGCUGCCCUGGUUCUCGCUCAGUACCCCUAUGGUCUGCCUCCUCUUCAUCCGUGCCACCCGGGACCUGGUGGACGACAUGGGGAGACACAAGAGUGACAGAGCCAUCAACAACAGACCCUGCCAGAUUCUGAUGGGGAAGAGUCCGACAGGAACCGGGCCUGCAUUCAUUAGGCGUUUGGCCGGGACGAGGACAGAGGCCGAGGCCCUGAUGGCGAACCCUUGCAGAGCUUAGGGCUCGGGCGAUGGGGAGGACAAGGAAAGUCUGAAGAGGACGUGGGUGCAGGACCCUGGAGGUCACUGGGUGGGAGCGUGGACCCGCGGGGAGUGGGGUGGGAGCCCGGGGAAGGCUUCCUGAGGGGGCAAAGGCCCGGAGGUGGGGACUGCAGCUGCGGGCCCCCCGUCAUCCCGUGCCUCUGGUCUCCCGGUGUGGGGAGGGUUGGCAGAGGGAGGGGCCUCCUUCACAACCCCCUCUCCCCGCAGCUUCAAGCAGAAGAAAUGGCAGGAUCUGUGCGUGGGGGAUGUGGUCUGUCUCCGCAAGGACAACAUCGUCCCAGCCGACAUGCUCUUGCUGGCCAGCACGGAGCCCAGCAGCCUGUGCUAUGUGGAGACGGUGGACAUUGACGGGGAGACCAACUUGAAGUUCAGACAGGCCCUGAUGGUCACCCACAAAGAACUGGCCACUAUAAAGAAGAUGGCGUCCUUUCAAGGCACAGUGACGUGUGAGGCGCCUAACAGUCGGAUGCACCACUUCGUGGGGUGCCUGGAAUGGAAUGACAAGAAAUACUCCCUGGACAUUGGCAACCUCCUCCUCCGAGGCUGCAGGAUUCGCAACACAGACACCUGCUAUGGACUGGUCAUUUAUGCUGGUUUUGACACAAAAAUUAUGAAGAACUGUGGCAAGAUCCAUUUGAAGAGAACCAAGCUGGACCUCCUGAUGAACAAGCUGGUGGUUGUGAUCUUCAUCUCCGUGGUGCUUGUCUGCCUGGUGUUGGCCUUCGGCUUCGGUUUCUCAGUCAAAGAAUUCAAAGACCACCACUACUACCUCUCGGGGGUGCAUGGGAGCAGCGUGGCCGCAGAGUCCUUCUUCGUCUUCUGGAGCUUCCUCAUCCUGCUCAGCGUCACCAUCCCGAUGUCCAUGUUCAUCCUGUCCGAGUUCAUCUACCUGGGGAACAGCGUCUUCAUCGACUGGGACGUGCAGAUGUACUACAAGCCGCAGGACGUGCCUGCCAAGGCCCGCAGCACCAGCCUCAACGACCACCUGGGCCAGGUGGAAUACAUCUUCUCGGACAAGACGGGCACGCUCACGCAGAACAUCUUGACCUUCAACAAGUGCUGCAUCAGCGGCCGCGUCUAUGGGCCGGAUUCAGAGGCCACGACCCGACCUAAGGAGAACCCCUACCUCUGGAACAAGUUCGCCGACGGGAAGCUGCUCUUCCACAAUGCGGCCCUGCUGCACCUCGUGCGGACCAACGGGGACGAGGCCGUGCGGGAGUUCUGGCGCCUGCUGGCCAUCUGCCACACGGUGAUGGUGCGGGAGAGCCCCCGUGAGCGCCCAGACCAGCUGUUGUACCAGGCGGCCUCCCCCGACGAGGGGGCGCUGGUCACCGCAGCCCGGAACUUCGGCUACGUGUUCCUGUCCCGCACCCAGGACACCGUCACGAUCAUGGAGCUGGGGGAGGAACGGGUCUACCAGGUCCUGGCCAUAAUGGACUUCAACAGCACGCGCAAACGGAUGUCGGUGCUGGUUCGAAAGCCAGAGGGCGCCAUCUGCCUGUACACCAAGGGCGCCGACACGGUCAUCUUCGAACGCUUGCACAGGAGGGGGGCAAUGGAAUUUGCCACAGAGGAGGCCUUGGCUGCCUUUGCCCAGGAGACCCUGCGGACACUGUGCCUGGCCUACAGGGAGGUGGCUGAGGACAUUUACGAGGACUGGCAGCAGCGCCACCAGGAGGCCAGCCUCCUGCUGCAGAACCGGGCACAGGCCCUGCAACAGGUGUACAACGAGAUGGAGCAGGACCUCAGGCUGCUGGGAGCCACAGCCAUCGAGGACAGACUCCAGGACGGUGUCCCUGAAACCAUCAAAUGUCUCAAGAAGAGCAACAUCAAAAUAUGGGUGCUCACCGGGGACAAGCAGGAAACGGCUGUGAACAUCGGCUUCGCCUGCGAGCUGCUGUCAGAGAAUAUGCUCAUUCUGGAGGAGAAGGAGAUUAGCCGCAUCCUGGAGACCUACUGGGAAAACAGUAACAACCUUCUAACCAGGGAGUCCCUGUCGCAGGUCAAGCUGGCCUUGGUCAUUAACGGAGACUUCCUGGCGCCUGUCCCUGCUGUGCCGGAGGUUCGGGCUCCCGCUGGCUGCACCGCCAGCCCAGGACUCCAGAGCCCGCCGUAGCUCCGAGGUGCUGCAGGAGCGCGCCUUCGUGGACCUGGCGUCCAAGUGCCAGGCGGUCAUCUGCUGCCGCGUGACGCCCAAGCAGAAGGCCCUGAUCGUGGCCCUGGUCAAGAAGUACCACCAGGUGGUGACCCUGGCCAUCGGGGACGGUGCCAACGACAUCAACAUGAUCAAGACCGCGGACGUGGGCGUGGGGCUGGCGGGCCAGGAGGGCAUGCAGGCAGUUCAGAACAGCGACUUCGUGCUCGGCCAGUUCUGCUUCCUGCAGCGCCUCCUGCUGGUGCACGGCCGCUGGUCCUACGUGCGGAUCUGCAAGUUCCUGCGCUACUUCUUCUACAAGAGCAUGGCCAGCAUGAUGGUGCAGGUCUGGUUUGCCUGCUACAACGGCUUCACCGGCCAGCCCCUGUAUGAAGGAUGGUUCCUGGCUCUUUUCAACCUCCUGUACAGCACCCUGCCAGUUCUCUACAUUGGGCUCUUUGAGCAGGACGUGAGCGCAGAGCAGAGCCUGGAGAAGCCGGAGCUGUACGUGGUGGGGCAGAAGGACGAGCUCUUCAACUACUGGGUCUUCGUCCAAGCCAUCGCCCAUGGUGUGACCACCUCUCUGGUCAACUUCUUCAUGACACUGUGGAUCAGCCGCGACACGGCGGGACCCGCCAGCUUCAGCGACCACCAGUCCUUUGCGGUCGUGGUGGCCCUGUCUUGCCUGCUGUCCAUCACCAUGGAGGUCAUUCUUAUCAUCAAGUACUGGACCGCCCUGUGCGUGGCGACCAUCCUCCUCAGCCUUGGUUUCUACGCCAUCAUGACUACCACCACCCAGAGCUUCUGGCUCUUCAGAGUAUCCCCCACGACCUUCCCGUUUCUGUAUGCCGACCUCAGCGUGAUGUCCUCUCCCUCCAUCCUGCUGGUGGUCCUGCUGAGUGUGUCCAUAAACACCUUCCCUGUCCUGGCCCUCCGAGUCAUCUUCCCAGCCCUCAAGGAGCUACGUGCCAAGGAGGAGAAGGUGGAGGAGGGCCCCAGCGAGGAGAUUUUCACCAUGGAGCCCUUGCCUCAUGUACACCGGGAGUCUCGUGCCCGCCGUUCCAGCUAUGCUUUCUCCCACCGUGAGGGAUAUGCAAACCUCAUCACUCAGGGCACAAUUCUGCGGAGGGGACCAGGGGUCAGCAGUGACAUAGCAUCUGAAUCCCUAGACCCAUCUGAUGAAGAGGCAGCUUCGAGCCCAAAAGAGUCACAGUGACACCUCAGGAAGAUGUCCUUCCUGGGGAAGAAGAAGCACCAGCCACAGGGGCAGGUGUCCUCCCAGGAAGUACAGCUCCCCCCUACACCUAGCUCAUCAUUUUCUAUGGAUAGACAAUCCGCUCUUCAUCCAGAAAACCAACCUGCCCUCCCCAAAUAUGUGCUCACCAGCAGCAACAGGCUAUCUGAGUCUUUCCAAGAGCAAUUGCCAAGGGCACAGGAGAGGUCAUUGUCACCCAAGCAGAGGCCACCUUCUCCUGAGAAGUUGCUGUUGACCAAGGAGAGGUCACAUUCUUUUCAGGAGAAAUCACUGUUGCACAGAGAAAGCCAGCUGUCGUCAUUUGAGAGCCAGCCACAGCCUCUGGGGAGCCAGUCAUUUCUUUCAGGCCAGCUGACGUUGGAGAGCCAGCCAGACUCCUCGGAGGAGAAGUCAGCAUUUUUGAAGCCCUCCACACCGUUCCGGAAGAGCUGGCAAAAGGAGCCUCACACCCCCAAGGAGGGGACGGUGCCACUUCCAGACAAGACCCACAAAUCUCAGGUGGAGACUCUGCCACCAAGUCUGGAAGAAUCGUCCACGUCCACGAGCGAGCAGCCUAUGGAGGUGGAGCUGUGGCCCGCGGAGAAGCAGUCAUCAUCAUCCAUGGAGUGGCUGCUGGUGCCCGGGGAGGAGCAGCUAUCCUUGCCCCCAGAGGAGCAGUCAUUGCCCUCUGCGGAGGGGACCAGGGUUCAGCAGUGACGUAGCAUCUGAAUCCCUAGACCCAUCUGAUGAAGAGGCAUCUUCGAGCCCAAAGGAGUCACGCUGGCAUAUCAGGAAGAUGUCCUUCCUGGGAAGAAGAAGCUCCAGCCAGUUCUGCUGCAAGUCAACCAGCAUGCAGGGGGCCUUCCUCUAAAGACAAGGACUCCACAUGCUUUUCUUUUUCUAAUAAACCAGGGUCCAUCUGACCCCAGCGCUAA